CUCUGGGUCCAACCUCCCAUCCGUGUCUAUCUGUACCCUGUUGCUUCGGCGUGGCCACGGCCCGCCGGAGACUAACAUUUGAACGCUGUCUGAAGUUUGCAGUCUGAGUUUUUAGUUAAACAAUCGUUAAAACUUUCAACAACGGAUCUCUUGGUUCCGGCAUCGAUGAAGAACGCAGCGAAAUGCGAUAAUUAAUGUGAAUUGCAGAAUUCAGUGAAUCAUCGAGUCUUUGAACGCACAUUGCGCCCCCUGGUAUUCCGGGGGGCAUGCCUGUCCGAGCGUCAUUGCUGCCCUCAAGCACGGCUUGUGUGUUGGGCUUCCGUCCCUGGCAACGGGGACGGGCCCAAAAGGCAGUGGCGGCACCAUGUCUGGUCCUCGAGCGUAUGGGGCUUUGUCACCCGCUCCCGUAGGUCCAGCUGGCAGCUAGCCUCGCAACCAAUCUUUUUAACCAGGUUGACCUCGGAUCAGGUAGGGAUACCCGCUGAACUUAAGCAUAUCAAUAAGCGGAGGA
rnacentral:rRNA from 1 species